AAAUGUGGACCGAAAAUUGGUUUGGAUGGUUCCUUUCAUUUGGUGGUGCCGUUCCCUACAGAGCUGUAGAAGACCUAGCAUUUGCGGUUGCACGGUUUUACCAAAGAGGUGGAACUUUCCAAAACUAUUAUAUGUAUCAUGGUGGAACAAACUUUGGCAGGACUACAGGUGGACCCUUCAUUACUACUAGUUAUGAUUAUGAUGCUCCAAUUGAUGAGUAUGGACUUGUUAGACAACCUAAGUGGGGUCACCUAAGAGAUGUUCAUAAGGCUAUAAAGCUUUAUGAAGAAGCACUGCUAGCCACUGAUCCUACCAUU